rnacentral:rRNA from 1 species
AUUACCCACUGAUUUUAAGCAUAUCAAUAAGCAGAGGAAAAGAAACUUACAAGGAUUCCCUUAGUAACGGCGAGCGAACCGGGAACAACCCAGCCUUAGAAUCGAGCGGCUCCGUCGUCCGAAUUGUAGUCUGGAGUGCCGUCGCCAGUGGCGGACCAGGCCUAAGUCCCCUAGAAGGGGGCGCCGGAGAAGGUGAGAGCCCCGUUAUGCCCAGACCCUGUCGCACCAUGAGGCGUUGUCUACGAGUAGGGUUGUUUGGGAAUAUAGCCCAAAUCGGGUGGUGAAUUCCGUCCAAGGCUAAAUACGGGUGAGAGACCGAUAGCGAACAAGUACCGCGAGAGAAAGAUGAAAAAGACUUUGAAAAGAGAGUCAAAGAGUGCUUGAAAUUUUCGGGAGGGAAGCGGAUGGGGGCCGGCGAUGCACCCUGAGAAGGAUGUAGAACGGCGAUGAGCUGGUCUGUCGAUCGACUCGGGGCGUGGACCAGCGUCGAUUGGGGGCGGCCAAAGCCCGGGCUCUAGAUAUGCUCGUGGAAUGUCGUCUCCUCGAUUUUGGCAGGCAGCGCGCGCCUUCGGUGUACUUCGGCAUCUAUGCGCUCCGGAUGCUGGCCUGUGAGAUCCCCAUUCGACCCGUCUUGAAACACGGACCAUGGAGUCUGACAUGUGUGCGAGUCAACAGGUGAGUAUACCCGUAAGGCGCAAUGAAGCUGAUUGGUGGGAUCCCCCCGAGGGGUGCACCGCCGAUAGACCUUGAUCUUCUGAGAAGGGUUCGAGUGUGAGCAUACCUGUCAGGACCCAAAAGAUGGUGAACUAUGCCUAAGCGGGGCGAAGCCAGAGGAAACACAGGUGGAGGCUCGCAGCAAUACUGACGUGCAAAUCAUUCGUCUGACUUGGGUAUAGGGGCGAAAGACUAAUGGAACCGUCUAGUAGCUGGUUCCCUCCGAAGUUUCCCUCAGGAUAGCUGGAGCUCGCGUGCGAGUUCUAUCGGGUAAAGCUAAUGAUUAGAGGCCGCGGGGGCACAACGCCCUCGACCUAUUCUCAAACUUUAAAUAGGUAGGACGGCGUGGUAGCUCGGUUGAGCCGCACUACAGAAUCAAGAGCACCAAGUGGGCCAUUUUUGGUAAGCAGAACUGGCGAUGCGGAAUGAACUGAAAGCUAGGUUACGGUGCCAAACUGCAUGCUACCCUAGAUCCCACAAAGGGUGUUGAUCGAUUAAGACAGCAGGACGGUGGUCAUGGAAGUCGUAAUUCGCUAAGGAGUGUGUAACAACUCACCUGCCAAAUAAACUAGCCUCGAAAAUAGAUGGCUCUUAAGCGUGCGACCUACACCCGGCCGUCGAGGCAAAUUCAAGGCCCCAAUGAGUAGGAGGGCGAGGCGGUCGCUGCAAAACCUUGGGCGCGAUCCCAGGCGGAGCGGCCGUCAGUGCAAAUCUUAGUGAUAGUAUCAUAUAUUCAAAUGAGAACUUUGAAGGCCAAAGAGGGGAAAGGUACCAUGUUAACGGCACUUUCACAUGGGUUAGUCGAUCCUAAGGGUCGGGGAAACCCCGACAGACAGCGCAUUUUGCACGUACUCCAAAAGGGAAUCGGGUUAAAAUUCGUGAACCGGGAUGUGGCGGUUGACGGCAACGUUAGGAAGUCCGGAGAUGUCGGUGGGAGCCUCAGGAAGAGUUAUCUUUUCUAUUUAACAGCCUGAUCACCCUAGAAUUGGCUCAGCCGGAGGUAGGGUCCAGUGGCUGGAAGAGCAACGCACGUCGCGUGGUGUCCGAUGCACUCCCGACGGCCCUUCAAAAUCUGGAAGACCGAAUACCGUCCACGCCCAGUCGUACUCAUAACCGCAUCAGGUCUACAAGGUGAACAACCUCUGGUCGAUGGAACAAUGUAGGCAAGGGAAGUCAGCAAAAUAGUUCUGUAACUUUAGGAGAAGGAUUGGCUCUGAGGGCUGGGCACGGGGUCCUAGUCCCGAGCCCAUCGGCUGUCGGUGGACUGCUCGAGAUGCUCCCCGCGCUUUUAAUUAAAACAAAGCAUUACGAUUGUCCCAACGGAUGUUUAUGCAAUGUGAUUUUUGCCCAGUGCUCCGAAUAUCAAACUGAAGAAAUUCAACCAAGCUCGGGUAAACGGCGGGAGUAACUAUGACUCUCUUAAGGUAGCCAAAUGCCUCAUCUAAUUAGUGACGCGCAUGAAUAGAUUAACGAGAUUCCUACUGUCCUUGUCUACUAUCCAGUGAAACCAUAGACAAGGGAACGAGCUUGCCAGAAUCAGCGGGGAAAGAAGACCCUGUUGAGCUUGACUCUAGUUCGACUUUGUGAAAUGACUUGAGAGGUGUAGUAUAAGUGGGAGCCGAAAGGCGAAAGUGAAAUACCACUACUUUUAACAUUAUAUUACUUAUUCCGUGAAUCGGAAGCGGGGCACUGCCCCUCUUUUUGGACCCAAGGCUCGCUCUGCGGGCCGAUCCGGGCGGAAGACAUUGUCAGGUGAGGAGUUUGGAUGGGGUGGAACAUCUGUUAAAAGAUAAUGCAGGUGUCCUAAGAUGAGCUCAAGGAGAACAGAAAUCUCGUGUGGAACAGAAUGGUAAAAGCUCAUUUGAUUCUGACUUCUAGUACGAAUACAAACCGUGAAAGUGUGGCCUAACGAUCCUUUAGACCUUCGAAAUUCGAAGGUAGAGGUGUCAAGAAAGUUACCACAGGGAUACAUGGCUUGUGGCAGCCAAGCGUUCGUAGCGAUGUUGUUUUUUGAACCUUCGAUGUCGGCUAUUCCUAUCAUUGUGAAGCAGAAUUGACCAAGUUUUUGAUUGUUCACCCACCAAUAGGGAACGUGAGCUGGGUUUAGACCAUCGUAAGACAGGUUAGUUUUACCCUACUGAUGAAAGUGUUGCAAUAGUAAUUCAACCUAGUACGAGAGGAACCGUUGAUUCACACAAUUGGUCAUCGCGCUUGGUUGAAAAGCCAGUGGCGCGAACCUACCGUGUGCUGGAUUAUGACUGAACGCCUCUAAGUCAGAAUCCGGGCUACAAGCGAUGCAUCUGCCCGCCGUCCGCUUGCCGACCCGCAGGAGGGGCCUCAGCCCCCAAGGGCACGUGUCUUUGGUUAAGCCGCCGCGGUGGAAGGGUCGCGGUGGCUGCCUUAAAGUACAAGUGAAGUACAAUUUCCAUCGAGCGGUGGGCAGAAUCCUUUGCAGACGACUUAAAUACGCGACGGGGUAUUAUAAGUGGCAGAGUGGCCUUG